GUUUUGGCUUCUGAACACCCCCAGCACAACAUAUCCGCCUGUCACAACACAAGAGCAGCAUUGUGCGAUAUGGAACAAUGGAUCCAGAGUGAGUAUCGGAAUGUUAUACAAGAAACCAACCAGGAAACAUGAACAAUUCCAUGUUGUUUGGCAAAACACUCCAAAACUUUAUCGACGUGCUGUCUAGAAACAGGUGGAUGAGGCGCCCUCCCCCACUAACUUACAAAGAUUUACCCAGAAAUCCACACCUGCAUUAACGUUCAACAUCCUGUUGGUAUGUCACACCCAAAGAGACGAAAGCUUUGUUUUUUCAGUGAUGCUGAAACAUCCGGUGUUUAUUCUCUUAAUGGAACGUCUCAUCAUUCCAAUGGCCUCAAAAAAUGACUUCACAGUUUCCUUAAUCUGAAAGGCUCGAAAUAAUUAGCUCGAAAUCCAUCGGCAAACAGGCAAGAGGUUUGUAAAACAGGUUUUAAAUCCCACAUAUUGGAUAACACAUCCUGAAAAUUUUCUAACUCCGGACAUGAGCUCAACUGACCCCUAAGAAGCCGGGGUCUCUAAUGUUCUCUGGGCUUCUUUCAAAGUAAACUUGGUUUGAGCUUAAAAAAGUAAUUUAUUUGCAGACCCCAGCUUAAAUCGGCCACACUAGGCCACCAGAGUUGCACAUUUGGUUUGUCUCUUAAAGUUUUUUGUUUGACUUGGCUUUCGCCCAGAUCUCUCACAAAAAUUAGAACAACAAUUCCCUUUAGAAGUUCAGGGUCACACCAGGCAAUCCGACUCAUUUAGCUGAUCCACAUUAGAGUAAAAUAACAUAUUUAUAUAUAUGUAAGAACACAAUCACAGCCUGACUGAAAGUAAACAUUUAUGGAUUGAUCUGAUUUAAAACUGUCAAAAGGCUGAAGUUUGACCCCUUUUCUAACAGUAUAUGGCAUUAUAAAAAUGGGUCAGGAGCUUUGUAUUUACAUUUACCCGUCCCACCUCUAUUCUAACCCUGAUAAGCGCUGGGAAAUGGGAUGGGGCAAUUCAGUCAUAGGACCCAGAUUUACCACUCUUUAGAUAAUGUUAUCAUUUUUCAUCUAUGAUUGGCACAUUGAAUGCCUUAGGCGAUUACACACUCCCUUCCUGCUUUUGCACCACCUGAAUGAUCUGACAUGAACUGAAUGCUUUGAUAAAUCAGACCUGAUGUGGAAAGACAGUCCAGCCUUGCUGGAGAGGCCCAGACUACAGCAGAUGGCUGAAACCCAAUCCUCUACGCUCCUGCCAGACCGGCUCGGUAUUUUUCCUCUAUGCAAAUGUACCAGAGAUUUGGAAAUACAGCAACAAUGAAAUCCUGGUGUCAGCAGAACAUCUGAGAAUUGGACCAUGGGAACCACACAGGGGAGAGUGCCCAGGUUGGCUGUGUUUGGCGCUGUGGUUGUGUGGGUUGGAAAGCAGUGAGAGCGUGUCUUUUUAAGUGAGAAGGUCCCUUGUGUCUUUCUACUCACUGAGACAAGUGUGUCUCCUCCAGACCACAGGCAUGGAUCUCUACAAGACAUCAUCCUGACACGCUUUCUUUCUGUCAAGCGUUGUUUCCAAAACACUUUGAAGAUAUUUAAUCUUUGCUCUCAUAACUCAAUUUAUGGGUCAGUAAAUCGUGACCUAAAUGUUUACGUUUCAUAAUAAUUUUCCAGUCAUCCAAUGAAACAAACCACACGUUUCUCUAGUAAUGCUCUCAUAUUAUGUGAACUACUUUCUCCUUUAUGAGCAUCAAUGAAACAUCCAGUGUAGUCCAAUUCAAAAUCGAGUUUAAACCUUAAUGAAUAAAUAAAUACACAUAAAUACAAUUUUGUACAGAUGGCUAUAUGCUCUUCUCCUACGGCAACUCAAGAUGCUGUUUGGAUAAUCUCAAAUCAUGAUGGAAAACAUGAUCAUUGGGUUUUAUACAAAUAUGUGGCGUUCAAGCACCUUGAGUGCUGCUAUUAAAGCAAAAAGUGCUAAACCAAAUACUAG
ensembl:lncRNA